rnacentral:tRNA from 1 species
UAUUUUUUGGUGUAUGAUGCACGUAGAUUUUUGAUAUCUUUAGAAGUAGUUUAAUUCUAUUAUUAAUAA